ACGGCGAGUGAAGCGGCAACAGCUCAAAUUUGAAAUCUGGCUUCGGCCCGAGUUGUAAUUUGCAGAGGAUGCUUUUGGUGCGGUGCCUUCCGAGUUCCCUGGAACGGGACGCCACAGAGGGUGAGAGCCCCGUAUGGUCGGACACCAAUCCUGUGUAAAGCUCCUUCGACGAGUCGAGUAGUUUGGGAAUGCUGCUCUAAAUGGGAGGUAAAUCUCUUCUAAAGCUAAAUACCGGCCAGAGACCGAUAGCGCACAAGUAGAGUGAUCGAAAGAUGAAAAGCACCUUGAAAAGGGGGUUAAACAGUACGUGAAAUUGUUGAAAGGGAAGCACUUGUGACCAGACUUGGGCCGGGCGGCUCAUCAGGGGUUCUCCCCUGUGCAUUCCGCCCGGUACAGGCCAGCAUCGGUUCUUACCGGGGGAUAAGAACGGCAGGAACGUGGCUCCCUCUCGGGGGAGUGUUAUAGCCUGCCGUACGAUACCCUGGCGGGGACCGAGGUUCGCGCUUCCGCAAGGAUGCUGGCGUAAUGGUUACUAGUGACCCGUCUUGAAACACGGACCAAGGAGUCGUCCAUUAGAGCGAGCGUUUGGGUGUAAAACCCGCACGCGUAAUGAAAGUGAAAUUAGGUGAGAGCUUCGGCGCAUCAUCGACCGAUCCUGAUGUUCUCGGAUGGAUUUGAGUAAGAGUUUUAACGGACGGACCCGAAAGACAGUGAACUAUGCUUGUAUAGGGUGAAGCCAGAGGAAACUCUGGUGGAGGCUCGCAGCGGUUCUGA
rnacentral:rRNA from 3 species